AUAAUUGCUCUGGAACUUCUCCUGUAGUUCAAUCGUUGCUUGAGCCAGCAGAAAUUUGAUUUUAUGUUACUUGCAAAUAAAAGAUGCCUAGCAUCUAAUUCAGUCUUUCGUCUCAGGGAACUGCUUAUUCUACUUUAAGACUUUAGGAGACAGGGGAAGAAGACAAUAGGAGACAGGGGAAGAAGACAAGGGCAGCAUGUGACAAGAGCAAAAAAUCAAUUUGAUGGACUAACAUAACAAAUCUUGUGUUCUCUGAAACAACGGGGCCAGCUUAACAGACUUCACAAGAUUGUCAUGAUGAACAUAUUCAGCAACUCACUGCUCAGGCAGUGUUUCAGGAAGCUUGUCCAGGCCAAUGGCAGUCCUGACAAAGUACAAAGUGAAGCUCUCGUCUCAAAGAAAAGACACAAAAUCCCCAGCAGCCCCAUCCCAGAGAGGAUAUGACAGCAGAGCUCCAGGGGGGACACAGCUCAUGAUAACAGUGGAUUUCUCUUGCUUCCCCUUGAUAUGAUAUCAUACCUUUUAUUUUUUCCAAUCAAAAUGUAGAUUAAAUUUCAUAAUGCACUGCAAAGUGUUUUCAAAAUGCAAACUCGUUACAAAAACCCAUUGAGUAAUAUUAUUAAUUUAUGUUUAUUGCUAUAUAGAAAGAAUCUUGCUGCUUUUCUGUUUUUGACUAUUUGCACAUGCUCUUUCCUCUGUUUGGAAUGCCUUUCUCAUUUUCCGCUUGGAGAAAGCCCAACCCACCAGGAGAAAAACCUUCCUUGGCAAAC
rnacentral:lncRNA from 1 species